AAUGACUAGGAUGUAGUCAGAAGACAUAACCACAGAUAUAUAGUUACACAUUUAAAAGAGUCUAUUAAAGGCCUUUCUGGCUUUGCUCUGAAUUUACAAUAUGAGAAUUUCCAAAGAGUGUAUUUUCUGAAACAACUUUCAUUGCCUUGGGAUAAUUUCUCUUUUUUUUUUUUUCCCCUUUAAUGUGAUUUGUCAUGGUAGAACCUAGACAUUUUUCCAUGUGUGCUUACUUUGUGUUUUCUGUGGCCUGCAAGGAAUUAGUUUUAAUUAACGAGACUGGCAAAUGCAUUGUUGAAACAGUCUUUGUGGUAGACACGCCUUUGUGUUAACAGUUGGGUUAAACAUCCCCUUUAUCAGAGCUAUUAGCACCUAAUAUUACUGUCUGAUUAAAGAUCAUUCAGUGGAUUAUCCAGUCCCAGCGCUUCCGCAUACCCCCAGACAGGUGCUCAAAUAAGGAAUUACGUUAAGUAAAUUAGCACUAGUAUCGCAUCCUUAAUGGCUUUGUCUUGGCUGCGGAAAAGAAAAAGUUACUGGGCUGUUUGGAUGCGUCUUUGUCGCUCUUAAGCAGCAGGUUGCCUUGCACAAGCUCCGUAGAUUUACAUUAGAAAAAAGACCUUUGUUUUGUUGUUCACCUGGUCUUCCUUUUCUCAUCGGUGAGCACCGUGCCUUUCCUCCACGCAGAUUUCUUCUUUGGUGGUGCUAGAGAGAGCUGAUGAGACAGGAAGAAAGUGGCAGGAAUUGCUGGGUCUGACCUUCACUAAUGCUAAGCUUGGAGCUGCACUGAAGCUAUUUUAAACAAGGUCACUUUGGAUAGGAGACUAGAAAAGCAAAUCUGUCUUUUUUGUCACUGCAUUUUUCCCACUGCAUUUCUAAUGUCACCAAUGGUUGAAGUGGAUACGCAUCAAAUGCAAACAGAAUGGACAGGAGAGAAUCAAAUCACCACUUGAAUGAAGUCAGUCUGUGAGCAGUGGAACUCAGAAGAGAUUUACUGUAUUCCUGUGGUGGCUGUAAUUCAGGAAAAUUCCAGAACCCAACAAACAAAGCAGAAAACGUACUUCUUCCAGACAGGAGAAGCGCAAGACUUGGAAGCCUCUGUGGGAGAGAAGACAGGAAUGCCACUCGCUGCAUUUCUCAGCUUAACUUGGCUGGCCGAAUGCUUAACUUGCUGAAGAACAGUGACAGUUACAGACAGGCUGUCUCUUUCCAUGCCCGCUGAUGGGGUGAGCUCUCAGGCACUUAUAUAAUUGCUCCUAGCUGCUGGUGCUAAAUUGUUGGCUUGAAGAGGAUUGUGCAGUCUGAACCUGAUGGCUGACUGCUGCCACAGAAACUUCAGUUUAAUUGCUGAUGGAAUUGGACAUACAUACGAAAAGAAUCGAGUUCGUGUAAUUUAGCCGUAAAGGAAAUACUCUUGCAUUAAAAGAAGGUUCUGAUGUAGCAAAAUUAAGCUAUACGUGUUUGAGUAUAAGCAUAUAUAGCUCAGGUUUUGAAUACCUGAGGGAUGCUUCCCUUUGGAUGUCUAUUACUGAUGACAGUGCAGCAUCAGAAGUGCUAUGCGGGUUCUCUGAGCACGACAAAUAAUGAUGGCUGUAAGUAACGGCCUCCAAAACUGUGUUUCCUGAAAAGCAGCUCACACACACUGCCACUGCAGUCGAACUUCCUUUAUAUGAGACCCUCGUACUCUCCCCGGUUCCUUUCCUUCUGCAUUCCCACCUUCCUGCCCCUUGGCAUUCAUUCACACUGUGUGUUAUUAAAGUUGUCUCUGAAGCUGCCCCAAGGAGUUGUGCACAUUAUUUACAUCACAACAGAG
rnacentral:lncRNA from 1 species